AGCCGGGGCAGGGGGUGUGGGGGGGGGGGACACUCGUGCCGGCCGCACACGCCGCGGUCCCCCUGCUCAGCCUCCGCCGUGCCGCGCUGCCUCCCCCACCCGCGAAGCCGCGAUGCAGCAGCAGCAGCAGCAGCAGCAGCAGCAGCAGCAGCAGCAGCAGCGAGGAGUUGUAGCCGUGCCUGGCGGAGGGGGUGAGAGAUUGGCUCUACGGAGAAGGCUGACGGCUGCAGCAUGAAGCGCAUUAUUACCUUGUGAUUCCAUGACCCUCCUCUAUGCAUCCCUAACUCUCGAAAGCUGAUUCAGCUUUCAGCUAGUGCUCUGGUGAGUCCUCUGCUGCAACCGAAUCUCCUAACUGACGUUUGCAAACACCCAACGAUGCAUCCUUAAGAGUUUUCCCACAGACACAAGAAGAGACACAAGCCCUUGCAAUGUGCAUUCCCUCCUAUUGGAAGGAAAUUGCCUGCAGCCAGAGGAAAUCCAUGCGUUAGCCUGGAGCCUGUUUGCAGCCGCGAGUCGUAGGGAUGCUGAAUGGCUGUCGAGAUGCAGUUAUACAACAUGGCUCUGCCCUUGGCAAAAUAGCCAAGUGGCCGUCACCUCUAUACCUGCGAUCUGCAGACACGUCUCGGGACACUAUCUUUCACUGCCAAUUAUUUUCUUUGCAAUUAGCAAUGCCGGUUUCCAAGCACUACCCAAUCCCACCUCCUAAUUUCCAUCUCAGAAGCAUCAAGCAAAAGCAUCUACUGAGACAGAAAUGACUGAGUAGCAGAGUAAACAUCACCUUAACGUUGUUGCUGUCAAACCAGAACCAGAGAUUCAUAAACAAGGAAGGCUGGGGACAGAAGCGCAAGGGAAAGGGAAUCCUCAGGACAAGUCCCUAAUUGCUGGCAGUCUGGGCUGUGAAUGAUACCAGGACUCUAGAGGGAAAGGUUGAGUAGAAACAGAUGCUUCCAGCAGGCUGAGUGGACUAGGUUUCCAAAAUACCACGCUCCUCCCACCUGCUCCCGCAAUCUGGGUUAUUCUCUCACAUUCCCCAGGGCCGCAUCCAGCGUAAACAACACCAUUAUUGAAAUUCUUCCUUGGUAAUGAUAAUUAAGUUACUAAAAAAUGUCAAAUGGGGAAGCUGGUGGCAUCACGAGUUGAACAAAACCGUAGAAUGUAAAUGAAUGUGCUUUCUCCUUAAAGAAGCACCGGAGGAUGAGAGCUCACCUGCUGCAGCAGCUUCGGUGAUUUGUCUUUUUUAACGUGGCUGCCAGAUUUUCUGCUGCCGGCACCUAUGCCCAGCACAGACAUGCAUGUUCCUCCACAGGCAACCUUGAAAGCAUUUGCUAGCUGAAAGAGCUAUUUCCACCGGAAGAGGAUGAGAUGCGAGUGUGGAUGGAAAUUCUCACAGGUGCUGUACGUGCAACACUUCCUAGGGAAGUACACGAUUUUUUUGUUACACAGUUUGUUUUCCAAACUAUGGUGUUACUCUCCGAUGUCAAACACUCCAGCCACUCUGCAAACCUGAGUGACAAAACGUUGGCACGCAGGUCCGUAUUUAAGUGCCCCCAAAGCCAUCUGAGCCUUGAAUAGCAGAAACUUCCAGUUCUUUCUAAAAUUUACAGGAGAUAUGAAUACUCAGGGCUUAUAAAAGUUAGGCUGCAUAUUUAGAUGCUUAAAUGUAGAUCCUGUUACGCACCUUCAGGCGCCCAUGCUUGAAAAUUUCUGCCAAUAUUUUUAUUGCCUAAUUAUGUUUUUAUAGAAUAGGAAAUUCAAUUCACUUAACAAGGAAUUUCUAUUGCAGUAUAGCCUAUUAUGGCCUAAUCAAGGAAAUACGAGGCCCAAGUGCACAGCAGCUGGUAGGCUUCAGGGGAUUCUCUAGGGGCGGCUAACAUAUAGGGACACACCUAAGACCGGGGCCAAAAAUUACCUGUGUCCUUCCCAACAGCUAGUGUGUCAGCUCUGUUCACUCUCAAGUCGCUUCUGGUACAUCAGCAGCGUUUUGGAGCUAACGAGGCCACCUCGCCGGCUGCCCGUCUCAGCCAGGGGCUGCCCGGGUGGGGAACUGCCCAAAGGCCUGAGGUGGGUCCCGUCCUGCCGGGGGGAGACCCACGGGGCCAUGCCAUGCCGAGGGCAAGCACCCCCCGCAGGUCAUGGGGGCAAGUAGAGGUACCUGGGGGGCAAAGUAAAUGCACCGGUGGGACAGAGCAGACGCAGUGGCGGAAUGAAAUCAGUGCACGCGGAGGGCAACGUUAAACGCGCUCCUGGGAUGAAGCGCGUGCACCCACGGGAGAGCCUGUGUGCCAGGGGCUCAAGCAGAGUCACGCAGCCGCUGGGGGCUCGCAGCCCCACCGCUGCGCUUGCCGACACGAAACGUCCCGGGGCUCCAGCACCCUGCGCCUGUGCCACAUGGCUCGCGUGGCAGUGCGGAUAGCCCCCUUUUCUUAUUUGCUUGACAGGCUAAAAAUGAGAUCUGCUUCCUUCUCUUUCCCAUAAAGCACAACUCUGAAGUUUUUCCACUGGCUUUGAAAACCCCGGAUUAGGUUCUGGCCGGGUCAUUAUAAGGCUUUAGCCAACCACCCUUUAACCACAUCAAACCUAAUUGUCCUCCGUAUGCACUGAGAGGCUCCUCUGCUGGCCAACCAGACAGUGCUGGCUUCCUGGAAACCCUAUUAGCUUCUCAAACAAAGCAAUCGUGAGGACUCAAUCCUGCAAGCCUUUUGUGCAAAUAUUAAAUAACAAUGAAUAAUUAGCAGGAAUAAUCCUUUUUGCUUGACCUCUUCUGUAAUAAAGACCCCUGUCGGCAAAUGCAAACGUUAUUUUGAGCAGCAAUUUAUAAUCUAAAUCUGCUAAACACAUCAGCCUAAAUACACUAAUACUCUAAUAUCCACACUAUUUAUACAAGACUUAACACAGAUCAAAACAGACACAUUUUCUGUCCCAAAGACCUCACAGCAUUCAUCAGUCAAGUGUAGGUAGUAAAGGUGGCAAAGAAAGAGGUAAGGAAGAGAAGGAGAAAAUUAAGAUGGAAGAAACAAAAUAGGUAACUAAAUUUACCUACUAACUUGGAUUACAUUCCUUAGGGCUCUGCACAUGCUUUCUGGUUGUUUUCCAAGAGAGUGGUAAAAUAUAACUGCAUUAACACAAGACUGCUAACAAAGAGGCAGAUUUCAACUCUCUUCCCCAAAUAUGUCAUCCCUGUUUUCUCAUGCCUGGAGAGGGGGAAAAAAAAGAUGAUCUCUUCAUCUCUUCAGCUUGCUCUGCAGGCCAUAAGCUUCUGAGUCUUUCCAACUGUUUUGAUUUGUCUCUGAGCAUUAGCAGAUGGAUCUGAUCCCACCUACAUGUACAUGUCUUCCUUGCUAAUCUUCUAUUUAGGAACCAAGCCACGAAUCCACACCAGAAACCUGCUGCCUGGUCAUUCCUGAACUUUGGGGCCAUAUAUUUUGGAGCUAGACCCACUUCUACCACUGUCAUUGUUUCCCUCUGAUACAUCUGCAAAGGCGUCUUUUGUGGAGCAAUCAGAUUAGUUGAAUUUUGUCCAAGGAGUUUUAUUGUAUGCAUCCUUUUCCUUCGUGCAGUUUUCCUGCGAGAGAAGAAAGGACAAGCAAGCAAACACACAGAUAAUUGUACCGCAGUGACAGUUUGUCAAGUGAAGGAAACACAUUUUUAGUUGAGAGAUGAACGUUACAGUAGUGCUUGAGCAGAAACCUCUUCCCUUCCUCACAGAUGGCAUUGACAUAUAGCCUGAAGGGGCUAUCAGGGUACAAAACUAAAAAGAUGGUUAAAGACGUUAAAAAUUAUACGAUGUGAGCCCCAUCUACACUAGGACCAUCAGCUAAAAGGAAGAUUCAUUUUGAUGUAUUGGGCAGAAGACAGAACUUCUGCUGAUGUUGCAUACAACUCUUGAGUCAAAGAUAUUUUUGAGACAGAUGAAAUAUAUAUUAGCCUGCUACUAAUUAUACCUUUCCUAGUUGGUUUUUAUUGACUCUUUAAAAACUAUUACCAAUAAAUGUGAUGAUCUGCCUUCCCCUUUCUUUCUGGGUGAAUGAUCACUCCUGUAGGGAGUUUAUCACUUAAUAUAAUGACCAGUUUGAUCCGUUCAUGUUUGACUCCACUUUCCAGCAAGCUAUUGAACUCGUUGUCUUCGUUUCAGGGCUGCCAACAUUUCCAAGGUUCUGCCAUGGCUUCUGUUAAGCUGUAAAAUAAGUAUCACACUCAGAACAAAGUUAUAAAUCUUGCCACAGGAUGAAGGGAAUUUGUGUUUCUGCAUUCACUGAUUUUGGUACUGUCCAAGUCUGUAAUUUGCUUGUGCAGAGGAUAAACUUAAUAUUCUUGCUCCUUUUUAGUAAGACAUGCAGCUCUUCUGUACAGUGGGUCCGACUGGAGGGACAGAGGGGAGGCAAAGAGGGGAUUUCACCUGCUGGAAAAUACCUUCUACUUCCCCCCAAAGCAAUGGAAGUGUCAAUAGUAUUGACACCGCCACUAAUUAAAAAUGACUGCCAUAAGCAUGCAUACACUAGCUAUAGGACAUCAGCUUGGAUUAAAUAUAAACCACGAGGUGCGCUGCACAGAUUGCUGAAAUGUAUUAAAGCCUGGAUGAUGGUAUCUUCUGCACACCCAAGCAAGAAACGACAAGGACUGCUCAGUUCUUACACUCAGGCCACUCACCGGCCACGUAGCCACGGUGAGCUGUACAGCAGAGCGACCAAACGCGCAACCUGAGCUCUUUGCAGCCGUGAGAUGAAAUGUGUCUGUGUGCACUGCUUUGGCUGAGGUUUAAGCAAAUGUCCUUUACUUCGUAUCUGACGUGGGCAAAGAGCCUGAGCCUGGCCAGUCCUAGCGCUCGGCGGGUGUAUACGUUACCUCAGUUACUGCCCAUUUUAAUGUUUUUAUCUGCUCUCAUGUUACGCUUGUGAUCUCAGCUGGCUCUAGGUAGUUGCCUUUUGUCAUACAGCACCAAAACAAGCACUGAGAUGCUCCAUGUUGUCCCAGUGGCUGCAAGGUGUGACUGCAGAGCUGGUCUGGGGCUGAGCAGUGAGGCAUCGUCUGAGCUGCUCUGCCUGCGGGUGGGCGAGAGGGAGCUAAAUAACUCACUGGCUGGUGGAAGCAGAGCAUGGCCAGAUUCUCUCCUGAAGGCACAAGACACUGAGCACCAAGGACGUUCUUUUCCACCUCCAUGUGGUACUUCGUAUCACUUAGCACCUCCCGCCGAUAACGUUUGCCUCCAGGCCUUUCUGCCCUCCCUCUCCAAUAAAGCAUUUUGCACAGCACAUGAAGGAUAGCUUCUGCUUUCUCCAUUUACCACUAUGGAAAAAAGGAGAGAGAGGGAAAGAGAUCCUCAAAUAUUUCCCAAAUACACGUGCUCAGCUGUGAGCUGCUAUCCUGCCAGGUGGGAGGGGUGGCCCUGUGCUACACUAACUUGGGAACAAGUAAUAAAGUAUCAUGCAGUUCCUCCUCCGUGGUCUGCAAGGCAUUAAUUUCUAGCCUCCUUCCUGGGAGGCAGCUUCUCUCCUUCCCAUUUCCAGACUCCUCCAUCCCCCAGCCUCUGUCACCUCCUGGCUAAGGGGAAGACCUUGUUUUCUUGGCAAUUGUUGAUAAAUAAUUAGCUCAUGUUGCUCCUGUCCAUGACCAUGGAUGGAAGCAGGGCUGUGUUUCCCUAAACAUCACCUCUAAAAAGCACAGCCUUUUUUCUUAAUCUCUCUGGCUUCCCAGACUGGCUUACAAGGUUCCUCAUUCUCUGUUUGCAUAGUUUUACUCAAAAAGUCUCUCUCAAAGGCAAAAAGACGUAUGUUCCUCCACAGGGUGGCCUACAUGGCUCUCUGUGCCGCACAUCUAUUUGCCUAAAUAAGGUGCUCUCAUGAGUUUGGCAAUGACUGCCAGGGGCUCAGAAAAGCCUAAUGAAGCUGCUGUACGUUUCAGGAACUCCUACGGUAUUGAAGAGGAAUUUCCAAGCCCGAUGUCUGUUCCUUCUUACUUACUUCCUACUCUCAAAUUUCUUUGUGAAGUUCCAGCCUGCUCCAUGCUUUCGUAAUGAAAUAUAAGUAGACUUUUGUCUAAUAGCACAUCAGCAAAAGCCUGUUUGCCACAUGUAUCUUUGCAAGAGAGCUUGUUUUUCUUUACAUAUAGAAAAGAUGAAAGGGAAAGCCUGUUGGUUUUGUGUUUUAUAAGGUAAAAUAUGCGUCACUUGGAAAGUAAAGGUCUGCUCCAUCUUUGCAUGGUGAGGAGAGUGCCAAAACAGCCCCAAAAGGACAGAAGGAGAGCAGGGGGAGGUGCCAGAUUCAGAAAAAAACAGUAGAAGAGAAAACCAUUAUAUCAUUCACGUCAACAGCCAGCACUUCCCAAAUCUAAUGAUCCUGCCCCAAACUGCCACUGGAGAGGCUUAAGGGUUUCAUCCUUCUUCAUUUAAAGAGGACAGAAUGUGAAGCAGAUAAGAGAUUUUGGGAACGCUACGAGCAGCCAGAAAGUAGCUGUUGACCUGAACCUCCUCCAGAUGCCUCUCGAACCCGGGAGAGAAGUCGGGUCUGGCUCCAGAGCUCCUGCAGCGCAGCUCCGGGCUGUCUCCGGCACCGCGGAGGGCUUCGCCAGCAGUCCCGCUCGGCCCGACCGAGCAGCUUCGCGGUGGGAGAGCGCUUGCCUGGGCGCCAGCGUCGGCGCGGGCGAGCGGCCAGCGCGCUCCGGCCGGUCCCCGGAGCGCUCCGGCCGCACCUGCGGCUGCUCUUUGCCCUUCGGAAUAACCAGCCAAGGUGCCUCCCGCUUGGCACGGUGGUGGAUGCAUCGAGGCACCCAUCCACCAUCAAGGAAGGUGCCUUUUACGAAAACGCCUCCGUCUCCUGGAAGUGAAACUAGAAGGAAACCCAGCAAUGAACACUUAAUCCUCAGCUGUGCUGGACGUGCUAAAUACUUCCCCAUCAUGCGUUUUAUUCACUUUAAACCUUUGGUUCUUAUAUCCAGUGAGCAGUUUGACACUGGAAGUUUUUAUGUCAAAUGUUAGUAGUUUUUCAAGCAGGAAUAAAUUGAUUCAUGAGUGGAUAAAUCCGAUGCAUCUUUUAAAUGGAAAACUGACAUAAUUUUCCAUCAGAGACCUGCUAAUAAAGCAAAUUCACUUAGUUAAUCCAUUUUUUCUUUGCUAAGUGCACUAUAUAAAGUAUAAAAAUAUCAAAUCAAUAGCCAAAGAGUAUAUAAAAAUGAGACCGAGUGAUCAGAAACCAUGUGUGAGCCACAUCUUUCGAUGGCUUUCUGGUGGAUUCAGCUUUAUGCUUCUACUUCCUAAAGACCUGCUCCCCAGGUUGUCCCAGAACAGCAAGGCUGCAAAAACGCAGAUGCCCCCCACGCUCGUGGAGGGGAGCAGUGGAACAGGCCACCGCCUGCAAGGGGCUUCAGGGCAUCAGCUCUCCUGCAGUUCUCCCUAUUUUUAGAAAUCAUUAGUUUAAAGGUGUAGGACCUUUUUUUAAUUCUCUUUUUAUUUCCCCCCCCUUUUUUUUUCUUGAAGGAGCUGCAUAGCAGAAACACGUGUAAAAGCCCAAGACAUCUUCCAAUACAUUUGCUUGAAGAACUCAUCACACGCCCUGCCAGGGAAUCUGCACAAACACCCUCCUUUUUAUUUUUCAGUUGGAAUAUAGUGGUGUUAUUUCAAAGAAAAUGCCUGCACAGCCUUCUCUCUGAAAACGCUGCAACCGUCAUUCGAUCAGUGCAACUCUCUUGUGUGAGUUAAUUUAACAAGCAGUUGCUUUGCAGGCUGUGGAGAAUUGCCUCUUACCUAAUAAUUCUGCUAAUUUGCUUAACUUUCCCAGAUUGCAAACAGCCCUACUCUGACCGAGCACCUUUCUAAAUGAACCCUCAGACAAUUUCCCGACAGGAGGGGAGAGGAGAGGAUGGCUUGGGAGAGCAACGCUCAGAGUCUUCUAUUUUUGACCUUUGGGCCAGCAUUCAGUUAUGCUUGUUGGGAAAACUGCCUUCAAAGUGUAUUUUCUUCAGGGAUUUACAAUACCCUUUUGCUUGUAAUUAUUCUCACUUGAUGUCUUCCAUAAAUUAGUUAAAGAUGCUUCUAUUAGUGAGUUCCAGUCCUUUUAAUUAUCUCGCUGAAGUCUCCUUAAUUUGUGGCCAUGAGCUACAACACAGGAACUGCCAUCCUUGAAAUGCUGCUGGCCCGUGGCUAAAGACAGAGAAGUCAGGAAUGUGCGCGGACAGUGCAAACAUCUGGGCAAGCCAGGAAAGAAUGAAAACUGCAGAAAGGUAAAUGUCAGACUAUUUAAAGACAAUGUUGACUAUUGAUUUUUUAGAGGAGACUACCUCUUCAAAGGCUGGCAAGCUUUCCCUGAGAUACAAAUGAGGCACCCGGAAGGAAGGGAAAGAGAGGGAGGGGAAUGAGCAGGGAAGAGAUAUUUUUCCUGAGAGCAAAAUGAACCCUUUACAAAGCCUGUGGGAUUAAAGCUGUGGCUUAUUUCUUUCAUCACAAGUCUACCCUCCAACCCACUUAAGCACCAGGCGCUUUCCAAGCAAACGGAGGGCAAAGCAGUGUUUGGGAAGUGCUGAUGAGCAAUAAGGAGAUAAGCGGCAAAGUAUUUGUUUCGUUGGUGUUUUCCAGUGAAAAAUGAACCUUCAAGCACACCCGGUGAUUUGUUGCCUAAGUGGCAAAGCUCACCAAGUUUCUGAUUUUGCUUCCAGCUGAGAUGCUCGUUGCUCACCCUCACACCCUGGAACAACCCAGACUCAUUAAGCCGGUUUUGCUUGUCCUUCAGGCUGCCCCAUCGAUCCUGGACAUACCUUCCCGGCACGAGCGAUGCCAGAUCUGCCUGGGAACACCACCAGCUGGAGCUGGGACGUGCUCAUCCCUGCUGGGGCAAAGAUCUGGGCAUGUGAGGUGCAGCUAGCAAAAGGAAGGAAGGGAAACCACCUGGCAGGUUAUGAUUUCAUAUGGAUUAAGGGAGAACUGAGCCUUGAAUAAAAGGCUUGUUUAAAGAAAUAGGCAAACACACAUACACAUUUUAUUUAUACAUAUAUAAAUACAUAUACACACACAUAAACUUGCCUUAUGUCCCCUGCCAUGAAAUCUCUGCCAGUGCACCCUGGAGCAGAUAUUGCUGUCCUUGGAUAUCUGCAUCUGCAGGGAGUUGUUCAUUUCUAUUGCAGAGACGAUGCUAAACACGGUGCUUUGGGAAAAUGGCAGGAUAAGAACUUAUUUAGGGGAUUCAAAGGUCUCCCAGACCUGCCUUUUUACAAAAGGAAACUUCUUCUCUCAAUGGGUGCUUUCAAACAGGAGGAACAAAGGAUCUAAUCCACUGAAGUGGAAUGUCUGCAAGGGCAAAUUAAUUUUGCAUUUGGAUACAAUGCUUUUUUAAAAAGGCUAAUUUAGUUUUUAAAGGAAGAAUGAUUAUACACAUCCACACGGCAAGAUAAUGAGUGAAAAGACCAAAGGAAAUGACACUCCCUCCAGCGAUUGCCUCCCUCCCUGCACCCCACCAAACCGUCACCCAAAGCAGCGAGGCCAGGGCUCUGCACGCUGCUUCCGCGGAGGCUGGUAGCUGGGCACAUGGCUGUUUUAAUCUGGAGCCCACCCAUGACAGUGCAGUUGCAACUGUUUUGCUUGCAUCUCCUUGAUAUUUUUUGCAAGACAGCGGGUCUGUUGGGGAUCGUGAGCGGUUCUGUGGAAACAGCAUUACCAGUUCAGGUUACGCCAGUGAGUCUCUGACCCCUGCAUGUAUAAAUUACUCAGGUCUGUAGUUCAAUCUGGAUCAAAAGUCUGUUACUCAUAAAUAAAGGGGGCUGGCCUGGUGCAGUGGGUUAAAGCAGGUUUCAUCGGUAUUGGAAUUUAAAGAUUAUAAAAUGCCACUUUGAGGCUUUAUGCAGUUGUUCAGAAACACUUUUUCUGCCAUGAAUUUGGUUCUGAGAACAGAUCUGGACCUUAGAGCUAUUACUGCUUGAUUUUAAGAUACGAUUUGUCAUGAUUCUAUGAUUCUAUGAUCCUGCAAGCUGCCCCAUGUAAAAAGCUUCAGGAUACUAUACCGAAAGGACAGCUACAAGAUCUGCAGAUAGCUGUCGACGUUAGAGGUGAGCACCUGAGUUUACGGGAGUACCUCAGCGUCGCUACGUUACUUGGGUAAAGCUGGGGGGUCGUUACCGACUUUGUUAAAUCUGAAGCAGCUACACUCAAGAAACAGGCUCCCAAGGCUCUGUGUCCCAUCCUCCCCCCCUUGCAAGUCUCUUGGGCACCUUGGUGUGAAGAUCACUAGAAGGCUAGGUAGCCGUCUAGAAGAAGCUAGGUAGCCCUCUUUGGCAGCCAGUCCACGCAGCAGGAAAACCUGAUUCCUCGCAGAUACUGAACGCAGUGCAAUGUGGCAUUACUGCCUGGGGUAACUUUUAGUUUGGAUGUAUUAUUUCAGUAAGGAGGUCUUCAGACAGCGUUAAAUGACAGAUGAUAUAAUUUUUGAAUAUGAUGUUCAUCUGAAUUUUAUUUUCUGAUGUUUUGACUCAUUGACUUGAUGUCUCUCUAUUAUGCACACACCUCUGGAGAUGUUGCUGGCAAUGAUUAUGCGUAGCAUUGAGUUAGUGAAUAAAACCACUCCAGGAACUGCUUUACAGAUCACAGUAUCGUUUUCUCUAUAAUUGUCCCACAAACGAUGGAAGUUAUAUGGAGAGAACCAUGUUCUCUGACAGACUGCAUAUUUUUGCAGCAUGCAUCAGAUCUCACUUUGGCUUCUGAGACUUAUUUCUGAUGGUUCUUGGGGAUUUAACUUUAAGACCAGUGUAUUUCAGUAUCCAUAUACUCCACUGUUCAUGUCACCCAGCAGCAACAGAGGAUGAGCUGUCUCCUUAAUAUGGAUGAGACACCAAUUUAUCUAAGUUAUCACCUCACAAUCUCUCAUUCAUCUCUGCUGUUAACUGCUGUGUUUCUGACAGCCAUUCCCAACUUAUCAGCAGCUUCUUCGCCUUCAAUUGAAACCAUAAGUAAUUUUUGGCUGGGCGUUCUUGUUAUAUAUAUAAUGGCUUCUUCAUCUCCCAGCUGGAAUUCAAUGAUCAGGUGACUGAAUCAAGCUCUGGACACCUCAUUUUAAACCCAGAAUAUUGCAUAGACCAACACAGCAAAGUAAAUCACAAGUCAGGGUAUCUUUCCACCGUCCGAAAAUAUACGACCAAAUUAACGUGUCCCAAGCUUACUUUGAACAGUACUACAGCUCUGACUGCGAACAGCCAGGCAUUUGACCGCAAACUCAGCAAUACUUUCCUCCUUCCUAAUGCAUUCCCAAAUCUGCAGAACUUCCCGGUAUUCUCUUUACGGAAGGUCCCUGCAGUAUUAUGUAUCAAAUCAAAAGGUCUCAUUACUUAGUUUCUGGUUCCUUCAUGCCAUUGCUCUCAUUUAUCAUCUUGUUCUUCAAGCUUGGGCUUCAUGCCAUUAGGACUGUCUUGCUCCCCACCCCUGGGGACCGCCAGCCUCCAUCCCGGACAGUUGGGGUCUAAAAUACCGCCCGGCUCCGGGGUCAAAGCCGUUGGCUCUGAAGAGCCACGGUACUGUGAGUGUUGUGCCUGGCAGCUCCUCUGCUCCAAGGCUAAAAGGAAAACUAAGUGUUUGUGCCCCAAAGCCAUCAGGUUAAUCCCUUCAUAUUUCCCCUCAAAAUUGUUGGGAACAAUUCAUCACAGGGAAUUUGCUUCAUGUAGUUCUCCCCCAUUUAAGUUCCCAUUUUGGUUUUAUUUCCAAUGAGCUCUCAGUCCUGGCACAGAGACCACUUGAAAAAUUGUCGUUCUCUGAAUUUCCCAUUGAAAGAGCCGCUGCAGCCUGCAUUUCCCACCCACCUUCACACUAGUUACUGCCCUGCUCACGCGAUGCAUCAGCAGUUCUGUUUGCAAUGUGUAAUCCAUGAAGUUUGCUACUUUCUCUGGGUAAUAUAUUUUCCAGGAGCGCAAAUGACUUGCUCAAAGCAUUAGAAUCUAAUUCUCUUUGUGCUGAGGAUGAAAUGCAAAAAGCCAGAAGAGCAGAGGAGAGCAGAUCCCCCCUCAGCUCUACAAAUUCACAGAAUUCAAUGGUUUAUUCAUUUUAAUUAGCCUUGGAAUUCAUAUAUAGGUGUGUGUAUAUAUAUAUGUAUGUGUGAAUUCAUAUAAUGAUACAUAAUUAAUUUAGAGUUUGGCAUUUCAGAACAGGUAAUUAAAAUAGUUCAUUGUUGAUUAAUCACUUGCAAAAUAAAUUAUUAGCAAUAUCCCUGUUAGCAUUAUGUUUAUUACUACAAUUUAGAGAAAUUAAGGCAGUUCACUUACAUUAAAUUAAACAUGAAAGCACAGAUGUAAUGUACCCUAGACAAUAUCUAUUUACUCUGAGAACAAAUGUGAUGUGUGCAUUACAGUACAUUUGCUAGGUCAUACAUCUUGGAUGUCCUCCUCAUGUCAUCACCAGAAACCUAAUACCAGCACACAGACUAUUCCUGUCUCUUUCUGUAAAUAUAGAAAUAAGAUUUGUUGGACUUUAGCAUUCGCUCUACACUACCUUGACCCUCAAGCUGCUCUGAUCAUCCGUGGACGCUGGAGGCAGUUCAGCCGGAGAAGGGUGGCCAGCACCUCGAACCGCGAGUGGCCGAGGGUGGCUCUGCGGCCAUGCUGCGGUGCGUGGGACAGGGACAUGUCCCCUCACUGGUGCCAACAGGGCAGAGAAAGGUCCACAUCCAAUCCAAGCCCCUCAAACAGAGAAGUAUCAAAUAAAAUCAAAUUAUUCAACCCUCGGUGGUCACCGAGGCCACAAUUAUGAGCCAGAUUAUAGCCAAACUGCACAGAAAUGGAAUAAAUCUCAGUCCAGCUCUAUGAUAUCCUAAAUAAAACACUUAAUUAUAAAUUGA